rnacentral:rRNA from 1 species
GACAGAGGUGCCGAGCGUUAGGCGGAAUCAGCUGGGCUUAAAGCGUGUGUAGGCGGACCCGUCAGUGUCUUGUGAAAUCCCCCGGCUCAACCGGGAACGGCUGGGCAUACUGCGGGUCUGAGACACCUAGGGGCGAGCGGAACAGGCGGUGGAGCGGUGAAAUGCGUAGAUAUCGCCUGGAACGCCGACGGUGAAAAACAGCUCGCUGGGGGUGUUCUGGACGCUGAGACACG